UACGAAGGGGGGCUAGCGUUGCUCGGAAUCACUGGGCGUAAAGCGCACGUAGGCGGAUCGCUAAGUCAGGGGUGAAAUCCUGGAGCUCAACUCCAGAACUGCCUUUGAUACUGGCAAUCUCGAGUCCGGGAGAGGUGAGUGGAACUGCGAGUGUAGAGGUGAAAUUCGUAGAUAUUCGCAAGAACACCAGUGGCGAAGGCGGCUCACUGGCCCGGGUACUGACGCUGAGGUGCGAAAGCGUGGGGAGCAAACAGG
rnacentral:rRNA from 1 species